rnacentral:rRNA from 1 species
AUGAACGCUGGCGGCGUGCCUAAUACAUGCAAGUCGAGCGAACGGACGAGAAGCUUGCUUCUCUGAUGUUAGCGGCGGACGGGUGAGUAACACGUGGAUGACCUACCUAUAAGACUGGGAUAACUUCGGGAAACCGUAGCUAAUACCGGAUAAUAUUUUGAACCGCAUGGUUCAAAAGUGAAAGACGGUCUUGCUGUCACUUAUAGAUGGAUCCGCGCUGCAUUAGCUAGUUGGUAAGGUAACGGCUUACCAAGGCAACGAUGCAUAGCCGACCUGAGAGGGUGAUCGGCCACACUGGGACUGAGACACGGUCCAGACUCCUACGGGAGGCAGCAGUAGGGAAUCUUCCGCAAUGGGCGAAAGCCUGACGGAGCAACGCCGCGUGAGUGAUGAAGGUCUUCGGAUCGUAAAACUCUGUUAUUAGGGAAGAACAUAUGUGUAAGUAACUGUGCACAUCUUGACGGUACCUAAUCAGAAAGUCACGGCUAACUACGUG